rnacentral:rRNA from 1 species
CCUACGGGAGGCUGCAGUGAGGAAUAUUGGUCAAUGGACGAGAGUCUGAACCAGCCAAGUAGCGUGAAGGAUGACUGCCCUAUGGGUUGUAAACUUCUUUUAUAUGGGAAUAAAAUGUUCCACGUGUGGGAUUUUGUAUGUACAAUAUGAAUAAGGAUCGGCUAACUCCGUGCCAGCAGCCGCGGUAAUACGGAGGAUCCGAGCGUUAUCCGGAUUUAUUGGGUUUAAAGGGAGCGUAGGUGGAUUGUUAAGUCAGUUGUGAAAGUUUGCGGCUCAACCGUAAAAUUGCAGUUGAAACUGGCAGUCUUGAGUACAGUAGAGGUGGGCGGAAUUCGUGGUGUAGCGGUGAAAUGCUUAGAUAUCACGAAGAACUCCGAUUGCGAAGGCAGUUCACUGGACUGCAACUGACACUGAGGCUCGAAAGUGUGGGUAUCAAACAGGAUUAGAUACCCUAGUAGUC